GCGUCAGUAGUGUAACGGCUUAGAGCACGUGCUCCCGGAUAGAGUGAGGCGCAGGUUCUACUCCUGCCUAACGCG